UACAGGGGGGGCUAGCGUUGUCCGGACUUAUUGGGCGUAAAGAGCUCGUAGGCGGUUUGUCACGUCUGCUGUGAAAUCCCGAGGCUCAACCUCGGGCCUGCAGUGGGUACGGGCAGACUGGAGUGCGGUAGGGGAGAAUGGAAUUCCUGGUGUAGCGGUGGAAUGCGCAGAUAUCAGGAGGAACACCGAUGGCGAAGGCAGUUCUCUGGGCCGUAACUGACGCUGAGGAGCGAAAGCGUGGGGAGCGAACAGG
rnacentral:rRNA from 1 species